rnacentral:rRNA from 1 species
UACAGAGGGUGCAAGCGUUGUUCGGAAUUAUUGGGCGUAAAGCGCACGUAGGCGGUUCGUUAUGUCGGAUGUGAAAGCCCUUGGCUUAACCGAGGAAGUGCACCCGAAACUGGCGAGCUUGAGUACGAAAGAGGAUCGCGGAAUUCCCGGUGUAGAGGUAGAAAUUCGAUAGAUAGUCGGGAGGAACACCGGUGGCGAAGGCGGCGAUCUGGGUCGAUACUGACGCUGAGGUGCGAAAGCGUGGGGAGCAAACAGG